GAUGAACGCUAGCGGCAGGCCUAACACAUGCAAGUCGCGGGGUAGAGGAAGCUUGCUUCCUUGAGACCGGCGCUCGGGUGCGUAACGCGGAUGCAAUCUACAUUUUACAGAGGGAUAGCCCAGAGAAAUUUGGAUUAAUACCUCAUAGUAUUUUCGAAUCGCAUCAUUUGAUUAUUAAAUUUCUAACGGUAAAAGAUGAUCAUGCGUCCUAUUAGCUAGAUGGUAAGGUAACGGCUUACCAUGGCAACGCUAGGUAGGGGUCCUGAGAGGGAGAUCCCCCACACUGGUACUGAGACACGCACCAGACUCCUACGGGAGGCAGCAGUGAGGAAUAUUGGACAAUGGGCGCAAGCCUGAUCCAGCCAUGCCGCGUGCAGGAAGACGCAUCUAUGGUGUAUAAACUGCUUUUGUACGGGAAGAAACACUCCCUCGUGAGGGAGCUUGACGGUACCGUAAGAAUAAGGAUCGGCUAACUCCGUGCCAGCAGCCGCCGUAAUAC
rnacentral:rRNA from 1 species